AUUGAACGCUGGCGGCAGGCCUAACACAUGCAAGUCGAGCGGAUGAAGGGAGCUUGCUCCUGGAUUCAGCGGCGGACGGGUGAGUAAUGCCUAGGAAUCUGCCUGGUAGUGGGGGAUAACGUCCGGAAACGGGCGCUAAUACCGCAUACGUCCUGAGGGAGAAAGUGGGGGAUCUUCGGACCUCACGCUAUCAGAUGAGCCUAGGUCGGAUUAGCUAGUUGGUGGGGUAAAGGCCUACCAAGGCGACGAUCCGUAACUGGUCUGAGAGGAUGAUCAGUCACACUGGAACUGAGACACGGUCCAGACUCCUACGGGAGGCAGCAGUGGGGAUUAUUGAACAAUGGGCGAAAGCCUGAUCCAGCCAUGCCGCGGGUGUGAAGAAGGUCUUCGGUUUGUAAAGCACUUUAAGUUGGGAGGAAGGGCAGUAAGUUAAUACCUUGCUGUUUUGACGUUCCCAACAGAAUAAGCACCGGCUACCUUCGU
rnacentral:rRNA from 1 species